ACCAGGAUCGCCAAGUUGGUUCAGGUGUUGGACUUAAGAUCCAAUUGGUCAGUGUUUGCUUGGGUUUGAACUCCACUCUAUGUA
rnacentral:tRNA from 1 species